AUGCCGGGAUCUCUGUGGCUGUAUCUCUGCGCGCUGCCGCUGUUCCCAGGUUCGGUGGCGGGGAACUCGCUGACCCAGAUCCCGGCUUCCCUGCCAGCCACGGAAGGGGAGCGGGUGGAGAUCAGGUGUCAAUACAUCACCUCCUACACCAGCUACGCCCUGGACUGGUACCAGGAGCUGCCGGGGAAGCAGCCCCUGUUCCUAAUCGGGAGGUUUUCCUACGACUUGGAACGCAAAUCCGAUUCUGUGGCACCUCGUUUCUCUGCGCAGCUGGACAAGGGAGCGAAGUCUCUCACGUUAUCCAUAGACGGGGCGCAGCGGGCUGACUCGGCGGU